rnacentral:rRNA from 1 species
GAUGAACGCUGGCGGCGUGCCUAAUACAUGCAAGUCGAGCGAACGGACGAGAAGCUUGCUUCUCUGAUGUUAGCGGCGGACGGGUGAGUAACACGUGGAUAACCUACCUAUAAGACUGGGAUAACUUCGGGAAACCGGAGCUAAUACCGGAUAAUAUUUUGAACCGCAUGGUUCAAAAGUGAAAGACGGUCUUGCUGUCACUUAUAGAUGGAUCCGCGCUGCAUUAGCUAGUUGGUAAGGUAACGGCUUACCAAGGCAACGAUGCAUAGCCGACCUGAGAGGGUGAUCGGCCACACUGGAACUGAGACACGGUCCAGACUCCUACGGGAGGCAGCAGUGGGGAAUCUUCCGCAAUGGGCGAAAGCCUGACGGAGCAACGCCGCGUGAGUGAUGAAGGUCUUCGGAUCGUAAAACUCUGUUAUUAGGGAAGAACAUAUGUGUAAGUAACUGUGCACAUCUUGACGGUACCUAACCAGAAAGCCACGGCUAACUACGUG